GCCAGCAUGGCAUAGUGGUUUGAGUGUUGAACUAUGAUUCUGGAGACCAGGGUUCAGUUCCCUGCUUGGCC